GUUUCUGUAGUGUAGUGGUUAUCACAUUUACCUAACAUGCAAAGGUCCCUGGUUCAAAACUGGGCAGAAACA